CCUACGGGUAGCUGCCGUGAGGAAUAUUGGUCAAUGGACGAGAGUCUGAACCAGCCAAGUAGCGUGAAGGAUGACUGCCCUCUGGGUUGUAAACUUCUUUUAUAUGGGAAUAAAAUGUUCCACGUGUGGGAUUUUGUAUGUACCAGAUGAAUAAGGAUCGGCUAACUCCGUGCCAGCAGCCGCGGUAAUACGGAGGAUCCGAGCGUUAGCCGGAUUUAUUGGGUUUAAAGGGAGCGUAGGUGGCUUGUUAAUUCAGUUGUGAAAGUUUGCGGCUCAACCGUAAAAUUGCAGUUGAAACUGGCAGUCUUGAGUACAGUAGAGGUGGGCGGAAUUCGUGGUGUAGCGGUGACAUGCUUAGAUAUCACGAAGAACUCCGAUUGCGAAGGCAGUUCACUGGACUGCAACUGACACUGAGGCUCGAAAGUGUGGGUAUCAAACAGGAUUAGAUACCCGGGUAGUC
rnacentral:rRNA from 1 species